AAUUAUUUUAUAAUCAGGGAAAAACAAAAAACAUCCUGAAUUUGUUAUCUGGUAGCCACAAAACUGUUGUGGAUAAACACACGAACUCUAGAUUCAGCUUCCCUGGACUCCGCUUCAGACUUUGCCAAGUUAAUGGCUGGCUGGGCUAGUCUGAGCAGGUUCCUUACCUUCUCUGUGCCUCAGUUCUCCUCGCCGGAAAGUGCAAAUAACAAUAGCUCAGGUUUACCGGAAGCUGUUUCUUUGUUUUACAUAAAUGAACGGACAUAAUUCUCACAACAGCCCUAUCAAGUAUGUGCUAUUAUUAUUAAUAUAAAACGGGUCAUACGCAGAGGCAGGCCAGGAGGCAAGGCUGGGAGCGUGAACCCUCGAGCGCCCCCUGGAGGGGAGCUGGGGAUCAAUAGCAGGGUCAGGAAGCCGCGCACGCGCAGAACGAGUAGAAGGCGUGGUCAAGUCGCGCGGGAGAUUUUUCCCCACGCUACGAUUGGCUGGAGUACUUGUCAUCUGCCAAGAAAGCAGCCAAUGAGGAGCAUGGGCGCGUCUGUCGAACCCGACCGCUGAAGGAGCUGAGGCGCCGCGGAGCUUAUGGUGCUCCGGCCGCAGCAGGUACCGGGGGCCCUGAGAGCUUCAUCCAGACUUGCCUCCCAGUGCCACAGGACCUUUGCACAUGCUAUGCUGCUUCCUGUUCAGAAUCUUACACUUCAAAUGCAGUGCCUUUGGAUUUCGGGUCUCGCUCAGAAGCCCAGGCCGAAGUACAGUGGCACC